rnacentral:rRNA from 1 species
UACGUAGGGUGCGAGCGUUAAUCGGAAUUACUGGGCGUAAAGCGUGCGCAGGCGGUUUUGUAAGCCAGAUGUGAAAUCCCCGGGCUCAACCCGGGAACUGCGUCCGAUACUGGCAGGCUUGAAUCCGGGAGAGGGAUGCGGAAUUCCAGGUGUAGCGGUGAAAUGCGUAGAUAUCUGGAGGAACACCGGUGGCGAAGGCGGCAUCCUGGACCGGUAUUGACGCUGAGGCGCGAAAGCCAGGGGAGCAAAGCGGG